GACGAACGCUGGCGGCGUGCUUAACACAUGCAAGUCGAACGGUGAAGCGCCUUCCUUUUUGGUGGGUGUGGAUGAGUGGCGAACGGGUGAGUAACACGUGAGUAACCUGCCCCCUUCUUCUGGAUAACCGCAUGAAAGUGUGGCUAAUACGGGAUAUUCUGGGUCUGUCGCAUGAUGGGUCUGGGAAAGAUAUUGUUUCGGUGGGGGAUGGGCUCGCGGCCUAUCAGCUUGUUGGUGGGGUGAUGGCCUACCAAGGCGGUGACGGGUAGCCGGCCUGAGAGGGUUGGCCGUCCCACUGGGGCUGAGACCCGGCCCAGACUUCUUCCGGAGGCAGCAGUGGGGAAUAUUGCACAAUGGGCGCAAGCCUGAUGCCGCGACGCCGCGUGGGGGAUGGAGGCCUUCGGGUUGUGAACCUCUUUCGCCAGUGAAGCAGGCCUGCCUCGUUUGUGGGUGGGUUGACGGUAGCUGGAUAAGAAGCGCCGGCUAACUACGUG
rnacentral:rRNA from 1 species